rnacentral:rRNA from 2 species
UGGGGAAUUUUGGACAAUGGGCGAAAGCCUGAUCCAGCAACGAUGCGUGGAGGACGAAGGUUCUCGGAUUGUAAACUCCUUUUGUGAGGGAAGAAAAAAAUGACGGUACCUCACGAAUAAGCCACGGCUAACUACGUGCCAGCAGCCGCGGUAAGACGUAGGUGGCAAGCGUUACUCGGAAUUACUAGGCGUAAAGCGCGCGUAGGCGGAAUGUUAAGUCUAUUGUGUAAUCUCUGGGCUCAACCCAGAAACUGCAACAGAAACUGGCAUUCUUGAGUGAGGCAGAGGAAAUCGGAAUUCCUAGUGUAGCAGUGAAAUUCGUAGAUAUUAGGAGGAACACCGGUGGCGAAAGCGGAUUUCUGGGCCUUUACUGACGCUCAAGUGCGAAAGCUAGGGGAGCAAACGGG